GACGAACGCUGGCGGCGUGCUUAACACAUGCAAGUCGAACGAAGAGCGACGGAAGCUUGCUUCUAUCAAUCUUAGUGGCGAACGGGUGAGUAACGCGUAAUCAACCUGCCCUUCAGAGGGGGACAACAGUUGGAAACGACUGCUAAUACCGCAUACGAUCUAACCUCGGCAUCGAGGAUAGAUGAAAGGUGGCCUCUACAUGUAAGCUAUCACUGAAGGAGGGGAUUGCGUCUGAUUAGCUAGUUGGAGGGGUAACGGCCCACCAAGGCGAUGAUCAGUAGCCGGUCUGAGAGGAUGAAUGGCCACAUUGGGACUGAGACACGGCCCAGACUCCUACGGGAGGCAGCAGUGGGGAAUCUUCCGCAAUGGACGAAAGUCUGACGGAGCAACGCCGCGUGAGUGAUGACGGCCUUCGGGUUGUAAAGCUCGGUUAAUCGGGACGAAAGGCCUUCUUGCGAAUAGUGAGAAGGAUUGACGGUACCGGAAUAGAAAGCCACGGCUAACUACGUG
rnacentral:rRNA from 1 species